GGGUUGUGAGGUUAAGCGACUAAGCGUACACGGUGGAUGCCCUGGCAGUCAGAGGCGAUGAAGGGCGUGCUAAUCUGCGAUAAGCGCCGGUAAGGUGAUAUGAACCGUUAUAACCGGCGAUACCCGAAUGGGGAAACCCAGUGUGACUCGUCACACUAUCAUUAACUGAAUCCAUAGGUUAAUGAGGCGAACCGGGGGAACUGAAACAUCUAAGUACCCCGAGGAAAAGAAAUCAACCGAGAUUCCCCCAGUAGCGGCGAGCGAACGGGGAGGAGCCCAGAGCCUGAAUCAGCAUGUGUGUUAGUGGAAGCGUCUGGAAAGGCGCGCGAUACAGGGUGACAGCCCCGUACACAAAAGCGCAUGUGCUGUGAGCUCGAUGAGUAGGGCGGGACACGUGGUAUCCUGUCUGAAUAUGGGGGGACCAUCCUCCAAGGCUAAAUACUCCUGACUGACCGAUAGUGAACCAGUACCGUGAGGGAAAGGCGAAAAGAACCCCGGCGAGGGGAGUGAAAAAGAACCUGAAACCGUGUACGUACAAGCAGUGGGAGCCCCACCACCAAAGCAUUUGCUGUACCGCGUUGACGGAGCGAAGCGACGUCAAACCGAUAAAACAGCAGUGUAAAGUGAGCCGCAGGGCGCUUUGCGCGACAGCGCAAAGGCAGGCGGUUUCGCGUAGCGAAAGCGAAUGCUUUGGGGUGGGGUGACUGCGUACCUUUUGUAUAAUGGGUCAGCGACUUAUAUUCUGUAGCAAGGUUAACCGAAUAGGGGAGCCGGAGGGAAACCGAGUCUUAAUUGGGCGUUAAGUUGCAGGGUAUAGACCCGAAACCCGGUGAUCUAGCCAUGGGCAGGUUGAAGGUUGGGUAACACUAACUGGAGGACCGAACCGACUAAUGUUGAAAAAUUAGCGGAUGACCUGUGGCUGGGGGUGAAAGGCCAAUCAAACCGGGAGAUAGCUGGUUCUCCCCGAAAGCUAUUUAGGUAGCGCCUCGUGAAUUCAUCUCCGGGGGUAGAGCACUGUUUCGGCUAGGGGGCCAUCCCGGCUUACCAACCCGAUGCAAACUGCGAAUACCGGAGAAUGUUAUCACGGGAGACACACGGCGGGUGCUAACGUCCGUCGUGAAGAGGGAAACAACCCAGACCGCCAGCUAAGGUCCCAAAGUCAUGGUUAAGUGGGAAA
rnacentral:rRNA from 1 species